rnacentral:rRNA from 1 species
CCCUUAGAUGUUCUGGGCCGCACGCGCGCUACACUGACGAAUGCAACGAGCUUAUAACCUUGGCCGAAAGGUCUGGGUAAUCUCCAAAUUUCGUCGUGAUGGGGAUAGAUUAUUGCAAUUAUUAAUCUUCAACGAGGAAUGCCUAGUAAGCGCAAGUCAUCAGCUUGCGUUGAUUACGUCCCUGCCCUUUGUACACACCGCCCGUCGCUCCUACCGAUUGAAUGGUCCGGUGAAGCGUUCGGACCGUGGCCUUUGGACGGUUCGCCGUCUGUUGGCUGCGGGAAGUUCGUUAAACCUUAUCAUUUAGAGGAAGGAGAAGUCGGANCA